CGGCUUGCCGUCCUUUUUCCCGGCAUGCCGAGCGGUGGCGCGGUUGGGCUGUGGAGUCGCGAUGGCGGCCGCGUCUCCGAGCUGCGACAUGUUCGAUGAGAUCGUGAUGGCCGAGGAGAGGUUUCAUAGUGAGGGGUAUCAGGAGGGGUAUGCUGAAGGCAGUCAUGCUGGAGUUGUUGAGGGAAGGAGGUACGGAUCGCUCCAUGGUGCCAAGAUCGGAUCUGAGAUUGGCUGCUACCUUGGGUUUGCACUGACAUGGCAGUGUCUGCUCCAGAAAUGCACGAAUGAAAAGAACAGCAAAAAGGUAAGGGCUCUGGAUUCAUUAAUAGGGAUGAUUCAGAAAUUCCCAUAUGAAGACCCCACUUACGAUAAGCUACAAGAAGAUCUGGAAAAAAUCAGAGGAAAAUUUAAACAGAGACACACAGCGUUUUAAAUGACAAAAAGAAACGCCUCAUAUCCUAAAGUCAUCAUGCCGUUGGCUCCUACAUACCCCUGGCCUUCACAGUAAGAUCUCUAUGAAGUCCUUUCACCUCUUCUCGAGAUAUGACAGAUCAAUCCUGACUAAGGAUUCUACUUGCUUGCCCUGUACCAUGUACCUCAGUCACCCUUGGAACCAGAUGUAUUAAAGAGCAGUACAUGAAUACAGGCCUAGGUAUUUUUGGUUUUACAAACCCAGGCACUUUUAAGGGUAAUUCUGUUUUAACAAGGUGGCAUGUUCAGUAUUCUAAACUGAAAGCCAAUUUAUUUUCAGAGCAAAAUGAACCCAGUCAGCUUUCUGGCAGGGCUUGGGGAGGGUGGAUUGUUUGGUUGGUUUUGGUGGGGCUUUUGUGUUUAGGUGUUGGUUUUAUUUAUUUUUUUUUAAUCCUAACCAUUUGCAUAGAGUGUGUUUGAGCUCUGAAAACUCAAACCAUUCAAAAGAAUUUCUAUAAAUACCUAUUCUUCUCCCUCUGGAGUCCAGUCAUGAAUAAUUACAUAGAACUAUGUAAUUUAAAGAUAAUUUUUGACCACAGACUUUUUUCCCCUGUGAGAUUCUCAGAGUACAGUAUGUUGUAACUAUUUUUUUAAAACAUAAUCUUUACAAUUUGUCAUGAACAGACUAUGUCUUAAGCUGCAGUUAAAUGAACAGUAUUUUUUUAAUGUUUUAGGCAUUUCUGUUAAUUUCUUAUUCAAAUUACUAUUAGAUGACUAGUUUCUCUGCAGGAAUGUAUUAGAGCUAGCAAAAAUAACUGCAAAACAUAAAAUUCCCUGUGAACAACCUCAUCAAAGCUUUUUUCACUCUCAGUACUUCUCAACACUGAACAGCAAAUACAAAACUUGUGCAUUACUCUGAUAACUUCUCCCAACAACUUUUCUGCUUCACUACCCAAAUUUUCAAUGCCCACAGUUUGUUCAAGGUCAUAAACCCUUCCUGGAUUAAUUAAACUCCUCAGUGAAAAAAAAAAAAAAAAACUUGCUAGCUUAACUGAUGUGGUCAAAUACCUUUAACACACACAGUAGACAUGAUCAGACUCCAGGGUCAGAUACUAAAGGAAACAACAACAAAAAAGAAAUUGCUUGGAAAUCCUUUGUUACUGCCUGACCCGUUCUGGAUAACAAGCAUAUGUCUGAAGGUGCCUCUGAGUAGGGGCAGGCAGGAGACGAAUUCCAAUGUACGAACAGACAGCAUGGAAACCCAAUCUAAUCUAGUUUAGCAAAUUUCUGGCCUGGAAAUGAAUGUCAGGUAAAAUUCCAUCUGUUUGGAUGAUGGGGUCAAGAAUAGAAUGAUGGAAGACAGCCCAAGACUUCUAAUUGUGAUUAUCUGACUUCUAAUUACCCCUGAUCAAAGGCAAAAUGGGAAAUUGGACUCCUACCAACGUAAACAUGAACCAUAAAGGAAUUCCAAUCAGGUGAUACUCAUUUUACUUUAGAUUCAGCUUUCUUUGAGACUAAAGGUAAAAAAGUGUAAUUAUAUAACCUGAAAUCCAACAGACCAGCUGCUCUAGCUAAUAGAUAAUCAGGGAGAAUGUUAGCCCUGUUAUAAUGCACGCUCUUAAUAUUUCAAGACAAUCCAAUAUAAAGUGUAUUCAUUUGUGUGGUCUGACAGGGGGAACCAUCACUGUGGAGUAACAAACUUCAUGUAAGAUAACAGGAAUAGCAUUUGAUACCAUGGAUUACAUAGGCACAUUUUACGGGAAAUUCCCUGUGAAGGGGAAUCAGGAAUGCGUUUGAUCCGUGGCAGUGUACACCUUGGAGGAGAAUCAGAAACAAAGGAAGUAAGUGGCACAAGUAAACGUCUAAUUUUGUGAGGAAGAAAGGGAAAUGCCACAUUAUACACAAGAACCUGAGAUACAUUCCUUCAGCUUUUAUCAGAAUACAACUUCCUCUGGGCUGAAAAAAUAUAAACCAUCUGUCAAACCCUUGAAUGAAAUCAAAGGAAUGGACAGCUUAGAGGGCUCAGUGGAACAGUUUAAGUAUUAAAUCAUGCAUCUCCUUUAUUAUGAUAAAAUAACUUUUGUGUAAAUGUUUUACCAGUGAAACUAAAGACUUUGGGACUCUAUGAAAGUCCUCUCUCUGAAUCUAUUCAUAUACCUCUGACACUCCAUUGUAGCCCUGACCAAUACCCACCUUCAAAGGGGCAUUUUGCCCAGCAUUCUGUGAACCUUCGAAAUUAAACUGCUACAAUGAAUUGUGGCCCAACUUUUGUGAUGCACUGCCAGAGAAAAGGCGCACGUGAUCUGAAGUCAUCUCAUGUAUGUUACCGUGCUUUAAAAAAAAUUUAGUUUACCCCCUUUUCCUAAUCCGCCCAUUUCCAAGCAGAUAUAAAUACACCAACCCUCUAGCAAGCUUGUGUCAGCCCCCAAAAUCAAAGUUGUCCAGACCGCUUAAUGACACUAUUCACAUUCCAAAGCCAGUCCCCUAACUGAAAUACUGAUACCCAGGUGGACUUCAGAAAUGAGGGAUUUCAGUAGGCAAGCAUGAAUUCCACCAAGAUUGGGUUGCUCAGAGGGGUACAGUGGGCAGUGUGUUUACGCCACUAUUUACCAAGCUCCACAAACAGAACAUGACCAAAAUGUGUCAGUUUAAUGAGUCUGUCCUGAUAGAAUCACGUUUUGGAUUAAUAUUUGCAUUCUUCUUUUAAAUGGAGCAGUAAACAAGAACAGGAAUUCAUAGUCACACCCUCAUUCUUUCCAAGGUGGAAAAGUGAUAAUGAAGUUUAAAUGACCAGUUUGUGUCUGUCCCUAUAACCACUCCAGACAAGCAGCAUGGACUGCCUUUUUGUUGCAACUCAACAAGGAAUUAUUUGUGGCAGAGGCCACUAAUUUCAGCAUAUUAAUCAGGGGGCCCCUCUCGCCUGUAAUUGGAUGCCCCCAAGUGAAGAGUGUGGCAUCAUUGUCAGCCUCCAUCGCCUCAUCUUGCGCUAUUGAGCGCUCAGGAACAAGGGGGCUUCGGUGAGAUGAAUUAGACCUGACACAGCCACAAUGGGGUAGGGGGCCCCAUCAAUUGAAGCACACAUCCCCAGUAGCCUAUCUGAGACUUCAUCCAAAAAGAAUAAACAACUUCAGCGUUGUUAAAAAGAGAGAGAGAGAGAGAGAGAGGAGGGGGAGGAGAGAGAAGAAUGCCAGCCACCCUGAAGGGAGGACAAAGCAGGCAUAUAGGCGCUGCAGCGCUUUAAAAAAAAUUCCUAACAAGGCGAGUCACCCCUUUUCCUUUUUAAAUGGAGCAGCAAUUCCAUCCGUCUGGAGAGCUGGGGGCUAUGAAUGAAAAUCUUUUCAUUGAGGCAAAUCAAAACUGCGAACAUAAAUCACUUGCUGCAAGAUGCAACAGGUUCCAACUGGUCACAUACCUUGAGACUUCCAAUUUUAUAAAGGCCAGAGAAUAGGAGAAUUGUAACACGCUUGUUUCAAAGCGGGAUCUUUCUUUCUCCAUCCGAGAGGAGGAAAGCAACAACAAUAAUAAUAGCAAU